rnacentral:rRNA from 1 species
GACGAACGCUGGCGGCGUGCUUAACACAUGCAAGUCGAACGGAAAGGCCUCUUUCGGGGGGUACUCGAGUGGCGAACGGGUGAGUAACACGUGAGUAACCUGCCCUUGACUUUGGGAUAACUUCAGGAAACUGGGGCUAAUACCGGAUAGGAGCUCCUGCUGCAUGGUGGGGGUUGGAAAGUUUCGGCGGUUGGGGAUGGACUCGCGGCUUAUCAGCUUGUUGGUGGGGUAGUGGCUUACCAAGGCUUUGACGGGUAGCCGGCCUGAAAGGGGGACCGGCCACAUUGGGACUGAGAUACGGCCCAGACUCCUACGGGGGGCAGCAGUGGGGAAUAUUGCACAAUGGGUGGAAGCCUGAUGCAGCAACGCCGUGUGCGGGAUGACGGCCUUCGGGUUGUAAACCGCUUUCGCUCAUGACGAAGCUUUGUGUGACGGUAGUGGGUAAAGAAGCACCGGCUAACUACGUG